AAGUCGUAACAAGGUUUCCGUAGGUGAACCUGCGGAAGGAUCAUUAUCGAAUAAACUUGAACAGGCUGCUGCUGGCCUCCUCAUUUGAGGGGUGUAAUGUGCACGCUUGUCAUCUUUAUCAUCUCUCCAACUGUGCACAUAUUGUAGACCUGGAAGAAAGUUUUUGAAUUCAUUUUCGAGUUGGGACUGCUGUGCUUUUUGAUCAAAGUCGGCUUUGCCUUGAAUUUUCCAGGUCUAUGUCAUUUUCACAACCUCUUGAUAUGUUUAGAAUGUUGAAUCAUAGUUAAAGAAAUAUACAACUUUCAGCAACGGAUCUCUUGGCUCUC
rnacentral:misc_RNA from 1 species